rnacentral:tRNA from 2 species
GGGGACGCAGAGCGCCAGGGAAGACGCGCGGGUCUGAAGAGCCCGGGCCCGACAGGGCCUUCUGGGUUCAACUCCCUGCGUCCCCA